CAGAUAUUUUGGCUUUGUUUUGGCAGAUAUCUGCAAUUUAUGGCUUCCUUUUGGCAAGCCAUAAGCUUUUGGCAAAAUUUUGGCAUGGUUAUGGUUGACCUGGGCGCCAGUGAAUUGGGGCGUUCCUCUGGAAAGCAAAAAAACCAAAGAUUUGGCUAAAAUAUGGGUUGUUUAUGGCUUCCCACAACACAUUAAAACGCGCGGACUGUGAAUGAAUGAGUUAUGGCCAGGUUAUGGCAUGUGUCAGGUUAAUCUGAACCUCGGGUGGAGAGCGGGACAGCAACGUUCUACAUUGGUGCGCUUACGGCAAUCCAAAAGACUGCCAAAAUCAACUGUCAAGAGAAACUCGUGCUUGCCUCACUUCAGUUUCCCCAGCGCCAGUGUGUGUCAGACUUCAGUUUAUGCAGAUGUGCUGCUGCUGAAGGCAGUCACCCGGUGGAGGAACUUGUUUUUUGACAGGCAUACUACAGAUGCUGUGCUGCGAAC